UAAGGCUUAGGUUAUCCUAUUUUUAACUUUGAAGGUUAAUAGUUUAAUUAACUUAAAUCCUU
rnacentral:tRNA from 1 species